ACACGUACUGUGCGAACGUUAUUCGGAAUCACUGGGCUUAAAGGGUGCGUAGGCGGCAAUCCAAGUCAGAUGUGAAAUGCCUGAGCUUAACUGAGGCACUGCGUUUGAAACUGGAUUGCUUGAGUAUUUCAGGGGUGUGCGGAACUGCCAGUGGAGCGGUGAAAUGUGUUGAUAUUGGCAGGAACACCGGAGGCGAAAGCGGCACACUGGGGAAUAACUGACGCUGAGGCACGAAAGCCAGGGUAGCGAACGGGAUUAGAUACCCCGGUAGUCCUGGCUGUAAACGAUGAGUACUGAGCGGGAGGAGGUUUCCUCUUUCUGCUGUAGUGAAAACGUUAAGUACUCCGCCUGGGGAGUAUGGUCGCAAGGCUGAA
rnacentral:rRNA from 1 species